rnacentral:lncRNA from 1 species
CCCUAUAAUUUUCUUGAACUUUACUUGUUUUUUUGAUAGAACUGCACUGUUCUUUAAUAAUCCAGAAGAAGGUUUUAAACAACGUAAAACAGUUAUCAUUAAUUGGCGGUAAAAAUCUAACUGAUACAAUUAAAAAUACUUUGUUAUUAUUGCCAACAGACACUAUUUUGUCAG